rnacentral:rRNA from 1 species
CGACGCGUGGCGGGCGUGGGAUUAGGCAUGCAAGUCGGAACGGUAUGGACCUUCGGGGUUCAGAGAGUGGCGAACGGGUGAGUAACACGUAGGUAAUCUACCCUCAAGACGGGGACAACCCAGGGAAACUUGGGCUAAUACCGGAUGUGUGUAGUGGCUAUUUUCUGAUUAUCAUUAUUUACGUAAGUGAGUAAUAAUAAGAAGGGAAAGUGGUUAUUACAUAAAAGGUGGCGUAAGCUGCCGCUUGGGGAUGAGCCUGCGUCCUAUUAGUUAGUUGGUGAGGUAACGGCUUACCAAGGCGAUGAUAGGUAGGCGGCCUUAACGGGUGGUCGCCCACACUGGGAUUGAGAUACGGCCCAGACUCCUACGGGAGGCAGCAGUCGAGAAUAGUCUACAAUGGACGGAAGUCUGAUAGUGCGACGCCGCGUGAACGAAGAAUCCCUUCGGGGUGUAAAGUUCUUUUAUACGUGAGCAGUGUCCUUUAUAUUAAUAGUAUAAGGGGAGAGAUAUUAGCGUAUGAAUAAGCAACGGCUAACUCCGUG